CGCACCGCCAACCGCACCAGCCAGCCGCACGAUCUUGCCUCCCCGACACGUCCAGCGCGCCGCCGCCGCCGCGCGCCGCUGGCCACCGCCGCCCACCCCGUCGGCGCGCCUACCCCUACCCCAAGUGCCCCCACACCCGCAGCCUUCCACUGCCGGCGACCCGCGUCCUUCCACCGCCGCCGACGAGGAAUUGCCGGAUCUCGGCGGAUCCGGUGGGGAAUGGCACGCAGGUGGCGAAUCUUGAAGGAAGGCGGCCGGAGCAUGGAGCACGACAGCUGGACGGCGUGCCAUGGCAUCGGGUAACUGCGAUAGAAGAGAGGCGGGAUGAAGUAGAUGGGAGGCCGGAGGGAGAGAGAAGAGAGCGGUGAGGCUUGGCGGUGGCCCUGCUGCUGCUGCUGCUGCUUGCCGGUGGUUUUUCGCCGGCCAUCGGCUGAGGUGGGACUCGGGUGCGCGGAGGUGUCGGGGAUCGAGGGAGCUCUCCUCCCUCAUGGUUGGAGCACUCGGGGUCGAGCAAUUGAGCGAUGUUCGGUCGUCGCCUUCGUCGGCCUUCGUCCAUUCCCCUCGCGUGCCUUAUCCCCUCAGCUUUCUCUUUAACGAUUCUUCCCCUGAUCUCCUGGGCUGUAUACAUCUUCGCCAUCUCCUAAUCCCUCUCUUCCUCACACCAUCUGCAGGCCUACAUGCAAUCAUUAUUUUUGUUAAGCAACAGAAUGCUACAGUAUGUAGAGAGUUGGAGGCGAGGGGCGAUGAGAGUUGGUUUAUGUUGGUAUUCAACUGGUUGCUUCUUAUGGUUUGGUACGUCUAUAUAAAGCUCACAUGUAUUUUGCUGCAUUUGCCUAAAAAGUGUAUCCGUGUAGAUUUUCAGUUCGAAGGUUUGCAUUAAGUAUAUUUUCACUCCAUGUGCAUGAUACAUUUCUUAUCACCCAAUGUGUUGUUUAGGGGAAACGGAUCCUUCUAAUCUGGCAUUCUUUUUGGUCUUCCCUGCUUUAGGUAGUUCAUGCUGACUCCUUAAUUCUUCAGUGAUAAUCAGUUAUUCAUGGAUCUAGCAACUGACUGUAUUUGCUUUGUCUCGAGAUCAUGGAUACUUUUUUUCAUGAGAUCAUGGGUAGUUGAAUGCCCUUUGUUGACAAUAUACGGUUUCUGAUUGUUUUCGUACGUUUAUGCCUCUUCUAAGCUUGUGGAACCCAUUUAUUUUCCCAAAGAUCACUUGUGCCUACUAAGUCUUGGGAUCCAUUUUUUUGUUCCUAUGGGACCAAUCUGUAGAAGAAUGCAUGCUCCGGAGCCAUAGAAGAAAUCAGCAGGUGGACAAAGUUGAGGGCCUGAGGCAGCAAUAGUUCUUCGAAGGCACGGGGCAAAAAUUGAUUGGUCGAAGGUACCAUUUAUGUCGAGCUUCAAUUGUCAGGGAAGAAAUUGUUUCUAUAUGUGCCUUCGGAUUUAUUUCGCUUAGGGAGUUCAUACCGUUCUUUUUUAGCAGGGAAAGAGAUUCUUUGGCUAGAUAAGAAAGAUCACUCUGAUUAAUUAGAUUAGAAGUUGUUUUUUCCAUCAAGCUUCAAUUGACAGGGAAGAAAUUGUUUCUGUCUAUGCCUUUGGUUUUAUUUUACUUAGGGAGUUUGUAUAGUUUUUUUUCAGCGGAAGAGAUUCUUCAGUUAGAUGAGAAAGAGCACUGUGAUUAAUUAGAUCAGAAGUUGCGUGUGA